rnacentral:rRNA from 1 species
CCCGAGUGCUUGCACUCAAUUGAAAGAGGAGUGGCGGACGGGUGAGUAACACGUGGGUAACCUACCCAUCAGAGGGGGAUAACACUUGGAAACAGGUGCUAAUACCGCAUAACAGUUUAUGCCGCAUGGCAUAAGAGUGAAAGGCGCUUACGGGUGUCGCUGAUGGAUGGACCCGCGGUGCAUUAGCUAGUUGGUGAGGUAACGGCUCACCAAGGCCACGAUGCAUAGCCGACCUGAGAGGGUGAUCGGCCACACUGGGACUGAGACACGGCCCAGACUCCUCGGGAGGCAGCAGUAGGGAAUCUUCGGCAAUGGACGAAAGUCUGACCGAGCAACGCCGCGUAGUGAAGAAGGUUUUCGGAUCGUAAAACGCUGUUGUUAGAGAAGAACAAGGACGUUAGUAACUGAACGUGCCCUGACGGUAUCUAACCAGAAAGCCACGGCUAACUACGUGCCAGCAGCCGCGGUAAUACGUAGGUGGCAAGCCUUGUCCGGAUUUAUUGGGCGUAAAGCGAGCGCAGGCGGUUUCUUAAGUCUGAUGUGAAAGCCCCCGGCUCAACCGGGGAGGGUCAUUGGAAACUGGGAGACUUGAGUGCAGAAGAGGAGAGUGGAAUUCCAUGUGUAGCGGUGAAAUGCGUAGAUAUAUGGAGGAACACCAGUGGCGAAGGCGGCUCUCUGGUCUGUAACUGACGCUGUGGCUCGAAAGCGGGGGAGCAAACAGGAUUAGAUACCCUGGUAGUCCACGCCGUAAACGAUGAGUGCUAAGUGUUGGAGGGUUUCCGCCCUUCAGUGCUGCAGCAAACGCAUUAAGCACUCCGCCUGGGGAGUACGACCGCAAGGUUGAAACUCAAAGG